UUCAAGGUCACCGGUAGCCGAGAAGGAUAUCCACAAACCAGACAUCUGUGGUAGCAGCUUUAGCCACAGUUUGAGCACAGGGGACACAUCAUUAACUUUUGUGACAGUCAUCGAACAGCGCAGUGCUCUACUUCAGCGCCGGGACUUCUGUCUGCUUCUCCACAUUCAAACUGGAAACGUGCUGACUGCUGUCUACUGAACUUUGCCUGACUCAAACUCUGAGGUUAAUUUGUGCCACCCUCAUGAAAGACUGUGCCAUCCCCGCUGAAGCUGAAAACAUAAACCGUGGCGAUCCAAGGGAGGGU